GAAAAGAUAAAGAAAUAAAGGGACUGAGAGUGGAUGGUGCUAUUUUAAACAGCCUGAUAGGAGAAAUCUUCUCUCAGAAGCUGUCAUUUUAAUAGAAAUCUGAAUUCAGGAGAGAGAGAGAGAGAGAGAAAGCAGGUAUUCCAGAUGUGACUACCUGGAAGAAAGGUGGUCCAGGCAGAAGGAAGAGCAAAUACAAGGGCUCUGAAAGGGAAAUUUUCUUGGUGAGUUAUUACAGAUCAACAGGAGCAUGUAGGAUUCCACUGUAGAGUGGAAUCCAGUUCUGUCAGGCUUUUAUGCCUACCGAUCAAUCCAGUGAAAGCAGUCUUAUCAACGUUACCAGUGACCCACUUCGGCAAAUCCAUCAGUCAUUUCUCUCUCUUUAAAAAAAAAACGACUUAUUUUUGGCUGCGCUGGGUCUUAGUUGCGGCAUGCUGGAUCUUUAGUUGCAGCAUGUGGGAUCUAGUUCCCUGACCAGGGAUCAAACCCUCUGCAUUGGGAGUGAGGAGUCUUAACAACUGGACCACCAGGGAAGUCCCCAUCAGUCAUUUUUCAGUCCUCAUGUGGCCUUCCCAGCGAGAUUUGGUAAGAGUUUUACUACAGGUGAGAGUUCGGGGGCUACUACUAUAAUCCGGGUGAGAAUUAAUAGUAAUUUGGAUAAAGGUGAUGGUGGAGGUGGCGAGAAGUAGUCAAAUUCUGGAUAUAUUUUGAAGACAAUCAAAAUGAUUUUGCCGAUGUAUUGGAUGUGGGAUGUGAGAGAAAGAAAGGAGUCAAGGAUCAUUCCAAGAUUUUGCCCUGAGUAAGUGGAAGAACAGUUUCCAUUUACCGAAGCUGGGGGAAGAUUGUGAGAGGAGCAGUUUGGUAGGAGGAAUAUUAAAUGUCUGAUUUAGGGUGUGUUAAGUUCGUGAUGCCUUUUGGAGUCAAGUGGAGACGUAGAGUAGGAAUUUGUAUGUAAGUAGGGUGUAAGGAAGAGGAUGGGCCUGGAAAUAUAAUUUUGGAAAUUAUCACUAUAUAUAAAUGACAUUUAAAUCUUCGAGGCUAGGUGGACAAAGAAAUAUAAAUAGUAUUUAAAGCCGUGGGACUAAAUGCCCCAAGGAAGCAAGUGUAUGUAAGGAAGAGGAGAGGUCUGGUUACUGAGCCCUUUGCCAGUUUCAUAUUUAGAGGUCUGGAACAGGAGCAUCCAGGAAGGGGGAAUGAAGAAGCAGCUCGGCAAGAUUCCUCCUGCAAACUCCUUGAAGACCUUGCUCAGUGCCUGGCCCACAGUAGGUGAUCAGUAAAGAGUUGUAGAAUGAAUGGUGACUCUUACCCUGUCACUUGCUGGUAAAAAUUCCCAUUUUGGAGCCACAGAGAACAAUACACGGCUGCUUCCCUCCCCUCAGAUUAAGAAAAUGAACCCCAGGCUUCCCUGGUGGGUUCGAGCCCUGGCCCGGGAAGAUCCCACAUGCCACGGAGCAACUAAGCCAGUGAGCCACAACUACUGAAUCCCAUGUGCCACAACUACUGAAGCCCACGCACCUAGAGCCCAUGCUCUGCAACAAGAGAAGCCACCACAAUUAGAAGCCUGCGCACGGCAAUGAAGAGUAGCCCCCACUCGCCGCAACUAGAGAAAGCCCGUGAGCAGCAGAAAACCCAAUGCAGCCAAAAAAAAAAAAAAAAUUAAAAAAAUUAAAAAAAACAAAACCAAAAAAACCCCAAAACAAACAAACAAAAAGAAAAUAAACCCCAUUUACCACCAAAAGCAAAGGUAACAAAAGCAAAAAUAAACAAGUGGAAUUAUAUCAAACUAAAAAGCUUCUGCACAGCAAAGGAAACCAUCAACAAAAUGAAAAGGCAAUCUACUAGACAGGAGAAGAUAUCUGCAAAUCAUAUACUGAUAAGGGGUUAAAAUGCAAAAUAUACAGAGAACUCAUGCAACUCAACAGCAAAAAACCAAACAACCUGAUUAAAAAAUGUGCAGAGGACCUGAACAGAUGCUUCCCAAAGAAGACAUACAAAUGGCCAAUAGACACGUGAAAAGAUGCUCAACAUCACUAAUCAUCAGGGAAAUGCAAAUCAAAGCCACAAUGAGAUACCACCUCACACCUGUCAGAAUGGCUGCUAACAACAACAACAACAACAAAUAACAAGUGUUGGCCAGGAUGUGGAGAAAAGGGAACCCUGUGUACUGUUGGAGAGAAUGUAAAUUGGUGCAGCCACUAUGGGAAACAGUAUGGAAGUUCCUCAAAAAAUUAAAAAUAAAACUACCAUAUGAUCCAAAUUCCACUUCUGGGUAUUUAUCUGAAAGAAACAAAAACACUAACUUGAAAAGA